AUUGAACGCUGGCGGCAGGCUUAACACAUGCAAGUCGAGCGGUAGCACAGGGGAGCUUGCUCCCUGGGUGACGAGCGGCGGACGGGUGAGUAAUGUCUGGGAAACUGCCUGAUGGAGGGGGAUAACUACUGGAAACGGUAGCUAAUACCGCAUAACGUCGCAAGACCAAAGAGGGGGACCUUCGGGCCUCUUGCCAUCAGAUGUGCCCAGAUGGGAUUAGCUAGUAGGUGGGGUAAUGGCUCACCUAGGCGACGAUCCCUAGCUGGUCUGAGAGGAUGACCAGCCACACUGGAACUGAGACACGGUCCAGACUCCUACGGGAGGCAGCAGUGGGGAAUAUUGCACAAUGGGCGCAAGCCUGAUGCAGCCAUGCCGCGUGUGUGAAGAAGGCCUUCGGGUUGUAAAGCACCUUCAGCGAGGAGGAAGGUGGUGAGCUUAAUACGAUCAUCAAUUGACGUUACUCGCAGAAGAAGCACCGGCUAACUCCGUG
rnacentral:rRNA from 1 species